UUAUUGCCAUAGGCUGGGACUGCGGGCUAUCAGCUUGUUGGUGAGGUAAUGGCCCACCAAGGCUAUUACAGCUACGGGCUCUGAGAGGAGUAGCCCGGAGAUGGGUACUGAGACAAGGACCCAGGCCCUAUGGGGCGCAGCAGGCGAGAAAACUUUGCAAUGUGCGAAAGCACGACAAGGUUAAUCCGAGUGAUUUGUGCUAAACGAAUCUUUUGUUAGUCCUAGAAACACUAACGAAUAAGGGGUGGGCAAGUUCUGGUGUCAGCCGCCGCGGUAAAACCAGCACCUCAAGUGGUCAGGAUGAUUAUUGGGCCUAAAGCAUCCGUAGCCGGCUCUGUAAGUUUUCGGUUAAAUCUAUGCGCUCAACGUAUAGGCUGCCGAAAAUACUGCAUAACUAGGGAGUGGGAGAGGUAGACGGUACUCGGUAGGAAGGGGUAAAAUCCUUUGAUCUAUUGAUGACCACCUGUGGCGAAGGCGGUCUACCAGAACACGUCCGACGGUGAGGGAUGAAAGCUGGGGGAGCAAACCGGAUUAGAUACCCGGGUAGUCCCAGCUGUAAACUAUGCAAACUCAGUGAUGCAUUGGCUUGUGGCCAAUGCAGUGCUGCAGGGAAGCCGUUAAGUUUGCCGCCUGGGAAGUACGUACGCAAGUAUGAAACUUAAAGGAAUUGGCGGGGGAGCACCACAAGGGGUGAAGCCUGCGGUUCAAUUGGAGUCAACGCCAGAAAUCUUACCCGGAGAGACAGCAGAAUGAAGGUCAAGCUGAAGACUUUACCAGACAAGCUGAGAGGUGGUGCAUGGCCGUCGCCAGCUCGUGCCGUGAGAUGUCCUGUUAAGUCAGGUAACGAGCGAGAUCCCUGCCUCUAGUUGCCACCAUUACUCUCAGGAGUAGUGGGGCGAAUUAGCGGGACCGCCGCAGUUAAUGCGGAGGAAGGAAGGGGCCACGGCAGGUCAGUAUGCCCCGAAACUCUGGGGCCACACGCGGGCUGCAAUGGUAGCGACAAUUGGUUUCGAAUCCGAAAGGAUGAGGUAAUCCACAAACGCUACCACAGUU
rnacentral:rRNA from 1 species